AAAACCAAGGUUUAAAGUACUUGGUAGAGAAAUCUCAUGAAUUUUGUUGAUGCCAAACUUUUAAAACAGUUAUUGUCAUGGCCUUUCCAAUGGUCUUGAGUACAUUCCAAUUUGAAUAUGUAGGUUGAUUUGUUGAUUGAAGAAAGUAAGAGAUUUAACCAGCUUGUUGACAAAGGUCUUAACAAGGCAAAAGGGAAUCCUAUGGCAUUCUAUAAGGUUUUGCCACAAUCCAUUGGAGCAAUGAAACCAUGGAUACGCCAAUUAGUUGAUGUAUAGCCUUUUUUAUAGGUUUGGUAGGAAAUUUUUUUGUUUAAAUGUAAUUAUUUAAAAUAGUUUGUUCGUACCAAAAAACAUUUGUACUAACAAUUAAAGCAAUAUUAGUAAGUGUUUAUUUCUAUUAAAGCGUUCACCUUUUUUCCA